UUUAAACUAGGAUUAGAUACCCUAUUAUUAAUUGGUGUUAAUGUUUUGUGCUUGAGUAGUAUUAGUUAUGUUCUUGAAACUUAAAGAAUUUGGCGGUAUCUCAUUCUGUCCAGAGGAAUCUGUCUCGUUAUCGAUAGUCCGCGUUGGAUCUUACUUAGAGUUUAGAGUGGUUUGUAUACCGCCGUUUAUUGAUUAUCUUUUUAGAGUUAAUUUUCUGGUUUCUUUAUUUUGAUUUAUUUCAGGUCAAGGUGCAGCUUUUUCUAAGUGUAAUGAUGGAUUACAGUGUUAUUUGUUGUUUGGAUUGUUUGGUUUUGAUACUGAUAUGAAAUUGGAUUUGGUUGUAAUGUUUUGUAGAUUGUUUUCAUGAUAAUUGGUUCUGAGAUAUGUACACAUCGCCCCGCCCCCUUUCUU
rnacentral:rRNA from 1 species